GAUAGUCCCGUAUACGAAAUAAUCACAGUGGAACUAAGCAUACGAACAAGUAGGACGGGGCACGUGGAACCUUGUCUGAAUAUGGGGGGACCAUCCUCCAAGGCUAAAUACUCCUGAAUGACCGAUAGUGAACUAGUACCGUGAGGGAAAGGUGAAAAGAACCCUUAUAAAGGGAGUGAAAUAGAAUCUGAAACCGCUUGCAUACAAGCAGUAGGAGCAUGAUUUAGUCAUGUGACUGCGUACCUUUUGUAUAAUGGGUCAGCGAGUUAUUUUUAGUGGCGAGGAUAACUGAAUAAGGGAUCCGUAGCGAAAGCGAGUUUUAAUAGGGCGACUAGUCGCUAGGAGUAGACCCGAAACCGGCGCGAUCUAUCCAUGGCCAGGUUGAAGAUUAGGUAGUACUAAUUGGAGGACCGAACCCAAUACUGUUGCAAAAGUAUGGGAUGAGCUGUGGAUCGGAGUGAAAGGCUAAUCAAGCACGGAGAUAGCUGGUUCUCCCCGAAAACUAUUUAGGUAGUGCCUCGUGUAUAACUCAUUGGGGUAAAGCACUGUUUCGACAAUGGGGGUUUUACGACCUUACUGACUCGAUGCAAACUCAGAAUACGAUGAAGUUCGAUCACGGGAGACACACUGCGGGUGCUAAGGUCCGCAGUGGAAAGGGAAACAGCCCAGACCGCCAACUAAGGUCCCAAAGUCAUAGCUAAGUGGGAAACGAAGUGGGAAGGCCCAGACAGCCAGGAGGUUGGCUUAGAAGCAGCCACCCUUUAAAGAAAGCGUAAUAGCUCACUGGUCGAGUCGGCCUGCACGUAAGAUUUAACGGGGCUAAGCUAUGCACUGAAGUUGCGGAAUAUAUUUAGUAUAUUGGUAGGGGAGCGUUCUGUAAGCCGAUGAAGGUGAAUUGAGAAGUUUGCUGGAGGUAUCAGAAGUGCGAAUGCUGACAUGAGUAACGUAAAAUAAGUGAGAUUCUUAUUGGCCGAAAACCCAAGGGUUCCUACGCAAUGUUAAUCAACGUAGGGUAAGCCGGCCCCUAAGGCGUAGCUGAAGAGUGAAGUCGAUGGGAAACAGGUUAAUAUUCCUGUGCUGCUUAUAUGAACGAAGGAGGGACGGAGAAGGUUAGGUAGGCCUGGCGAAUGGUUGUCCAGGUGAAAGUAUGUAGGUAGGAAUGCUAGGCAAAUCCGGUGUUCUGUUGAUCUGAGAUACGAGACGAAGUUAAACUUGUUUGACGAAGCUAUUGAUACCAUGCUUCCAGGAAAAGCUUCUAAGUAUAUUGUAUAAGUGACCGUACUGUAAACCGACACUGGUGGGUAGGUAGAGAAUACUAAGGCUAUGAGAUAACUCUGGUGAAGGAACUAGGCAAAAUGACACCGUAACUUUGGAAGAAGGUGUGCCCUUGAUGGUGAUGAGACUUGCUCUUUGAGCUGUUGGGGGUUGCAGAUACCAGGUGGCUGCGACUGUUUAUCAAAAACACAGCACUCUGCGAAAUCGUAAGAUGAAGUAUAGGGUGUGACGCCUGCCCGGUGCUGGAAGGUUAAUUGAAGGGGUUAGCGCAAGCGAAGCUCUGGAUCGAAGCCCCAGUAAACGGCGGCCGUAACUAUAACGGUCCUAAGGUAGCGAAAUUCCUUGUCGGGUAAGUUCCGACCUGCACGAAUGGCGUAACGAUGGCCACACUGUCUCCACCAGAGACUCAGUGAAAUUGAAAUCGCUGUGAAGAUGCAGUGUACCCGCGGUUAGACGGAAAGACCCCGUGAACCUUUACUAUAGCUUUGCACUGGACUUUGAAUAUUUAUGUGUAGGAUAGGUGGGAGACCAUGAAGCAGCUACGCCAGUAGUUGUGGAGUCGUCCUUGAAAUACCACCCUUGAAUAUUUGAAGUUCUAACUCAGGAGAGAUUCGAGGACAGUGUAUGGUGGGUAGUUUGACUGGGGCGGUCUCCUCCUAAAGAGUAACGGAGGAGUACGAAGGUGCACUCGGUACGGUCGGAAAUCGUGCCAAGAG
rnacentral:rRNA from 1 species